rnacentral:lncRNA from 1 species
GUGGUGGGUGCUUGGUAGUGAGAUGGAGCUGUUUAGGUUUGAAGAUAUUAUUUUUGGAGUGGGUAACCAUGGGAUAUGAGUUGAGGGAAGGUUGGACUGGUGGAGAAGGAGUGGGUGGUGAGGGAGUAGGGAAAGUGCUUAAGAAAUUUUGUGGGGAUGGGAUAGAGAUUGAAGUGGUGGCAGGUGCAAAUGAUAAGGAGGAGCAAUUGGAAGGGUGAGAGAUAUUCCUGGAUGGUGGAGGAACAAGAAAGUG